GUCCUGAAUGGCAUUGCCUAGGUUUUCUUCUAGGGUUUUGAUAGUUUUUAAACCCAUGCUUAAUUAAGAAAAAAGUCAGUGAUUCACUAAAAAAUAUAGUUAUUUAAAAUGGUAUAAAUCAUUUAUUUGCUCAAAAUGCUGAAAUUUAGGCAGGAUGGACUCUUGGAGGACCCAGUUCCAAGAUGAUCUCAUUCACCCUGCUGACAUGUUGAUAUUGUCUAUUUCAACUGGGAGCUCAGGGCCAGUGGCCUCAAUUCUCUACAGGACCUCUCCACCUGGAUAGGUUGGGUUUCUCAGAGCAUGGUAGCCUCAGGGUAGUUAGACUUUUUACAUGGUGGCAAAUUUCUCACAGAGCACAAAAGGGGAUACUUCCAGGCCUUUUUCAGGCCAAGUUGGUUUAUUAUAGCUUGAGCAAUUCUACUGGACCUUUGCCUAACUUGUCUGUCCUACCUAUGAUGCCUUUUCCAUGCCUUUUUGCUAAUCUACAUUCUAUACUUUCUCCACAAUCCAGCACAAAGAUCACUUCCUUCAUGAAAAGUUUCUAAUUAUUCUGCCUCAGUGUGAUAGCUCUUUCCUUUUGAAAUCUGACAGCUCUUAUUCUUUGUACUAUUCACUUCUCAUUGAAAAUAUGCUGUCAUAUUAUUAUUUACUUUCCUAUGGAUAGCAUAUCGUAUCUCCUCAACCCACCGUAUGAUCCUUGAGGACACAACCCAAGGACCAUAUCUACAUCACAGUGUCCAUCAUGUAAUGUGUGCUAAAUAAGUGUUUGAUAGCCAGGUCAUUGGUUGUACACUGAAGUAUUUUAGUUCUUUUCAGGAGAUGUUAUUCUACAUGAAGUGAUGUACAUCUUGAACUUAUACAGAUGCUUAAGAAAUCUAUUUGAGAAGAUAUUUACCUGUGCUACCAAAGAAGAAUUUAAAUUAGUCAUUGUAGGACAUCUUUUUUUUUGUGGAUUGAAGGUGCGAAAUGCCAUGUACUUAUUUCUGAGAAGAUGUCUCUCUCCGCUUUAGAAUCAUUAAUCUUUCCCACAGCCAGAGGUAGGCUGGCUUCCAUCUUGAUUGUCGGUGUUGCGGGGAGCUCCGUUCUUCUUUCUGUGUUUUUAUUGGUAUUUUAGUGAGAGGUACGGAAAGGCUGCCUGUUGGGCUGUUGAAGAAAUGUUGACAGUACCCAGGCCAGUACUCUGUAUGUGGCUCAGGCUUAGUAAGUACUUAUUGAAUGAAUAACUGCAUGAGUUUAAAGAACAGAGAUAGUUUAAAGAGCAGAGAUAGUUCUUUAUACAGCAGAGCAAGCGGCUGAUUACUUGGCAUGAUUUGAAAGGCAAAAAGGACUGCUUGAUACCUUAAUCUAGUGGAUAAAACACAGUGCCUGAAAUUCUUACCUUAGGUUUAUGAAUACUUUGUGUUUGGGCAUUGAAUGC
rnacentral:lncRNA from 1 species